rnacentral:rRNA from 11 species
UUCUACUAUUUCCUAAAUACUCAUAAGGUACCAGAUUCCAUCUGAUCUUGGAAGCUAAACAGGGCCAUCCUUGGUUAGUACUUAGCUAGGAAAUUGGUAACAAGUACAGGCUAUAUUUGAAA